AGGAAGGAAAUCUACAAGCAAGGGAACAAGAUGCACCAAGUCCCCAAGGUCAUAAAACUUCCACUCCAGAGAGUGUCCUGCCUCAUAUCCGGAGGGAAGGAAUGCUGCACAGGGAUGCCAAGAAGAAUCUGAACAGACAGGUCUUCCUGAGUUUCCCCACUCAGUCCAUUAACAGGGGAACAUAUCCUUUUUGUCCAAUCCUAUUUCUAUUUGGCUAUCCAUAAUAUGUUGAACCUAAGCAGAAAAAUGGACAGUUUCCCCUGUAUCUCUGGGUCUUCAUUCUGAAGGCUCCUGUAUCAUAUCCAAACUCUGAUCA
rnacentral:lncRNA from 1 species